UACGAAGGGGGCUAGCGUUGCUCGGAAUCACUGGGCGUAAAGCGCACGUAGGCGGCCAACUAAGUCAGACGUGAAAUCCCUCGGCUUAACCGGGGAACUGCAUCUGAUACUGGAUGGCUUGAGUUUGGGAGAGGGAUGCGGAAUUCCAGGUGUAGCGGUGAAAUGCGUAGAUAUCUGGAGGAACACCGGUGGCGAAGGCGGCAUCCUGGACCAACACUGACGCUGAGGAGCGAAAGCCAGGGGAGCAAACGGG
rnacentral:rRNA from 1 species